rnacentral:rRNA from 1 species
UAGGGAAUCUUCCGCAAUGGACGCAAGUCUGACGGAGCAACGCCGCGUGAGUGAAGAAGGAUUUCGGUUCGUAAAACUCUGUUGUUAGAGAAGAACAGCGCAUAGAGUAACUGUUAUGCGUGUGACGGUAUCUAACCAGAAAGCCACGGCUAACUACGUGCCAGCAGCCGCGGUAAUACGUAGGUGGCAAGCGUUGUCCGGAUUUAUUGGGCGUAAAGCGAGCGCAGGCGGUCAAUUAAGUCUGAUGUGAAAGCCCCCGGCUCAACCGGGGAGGGUCAUUGGAAACUGGUUGACUUGAGUGCCGAAGAGGAGAGUGGAAUUCCAUGUGUAGCGGUGAAAAGCGUAGGUAUAUGGGGGAACACCAGUGGCGAAGGCGACUCUCUGGUCUGUAACUGACGCUGAGGCUCGAAAGCGUGGGUAGCAAACAGG